rnacentral:rRNA from 1 species
AUUGAACGCUGGCGGCAGGCCUAACACAUGCAAGUCGCACGAGUGGCGGACGGGUGAGUAAUGUCUGGGAAACUGCCUGAUGGAGGGGGAUAACUACUGGAAACGGUAGCUAAUACCACAUACCAUCGGAUGUUCCCAGAUGGGAGUAGCUAGUAGGUGGGGUAACGGCUCACCAAGGCGACGAUCCCUAGCUGGUCGGAGAGGAUGACCAGCCACACUGGAACUGAGACACGGUCCAGACUCCUACGGGAGGCAGCAGUGGGGAAUAUUGCACAAGGGGCGCAAGCCUGAUGCAGCAAUGCCGCGUGAAUGAAGAAGGCCUGCGGAUUGUAAAGUACUUUCAGCGGGGAGGCGUUACCCGCAGAAGAAGCACCGGCUAACUCCGUGCCAGCAGCCGCGGUAAUAC